rnacentral:rRNA from 1 species
GGUUGCGAUCAUACCAGCACUAAUGCACCGGAUCCCAUCUGAACUCCGCAGUUAAGCGUGCUUGGGCGAGAGUAAUACUAGGAUGGGUGACCUCCUGGGAAGUCCUCGUGUUGCAACCC